UUAAAGAAUCUAUCCAUGUGGUUUUUGAUGAAUCUAAUGACAACUCUCAUAGAAAAGAAGAUGUUUUAAAUAAGGAUGCAGAAAUUUUGACUAACAAAAUGAAUAAUCUUACACUAAAGAAUGAUCCACCUCGAAGUGAAGAAGAAGACUUAAAGAAGAAUGAUAAAGAAGAGAAUAUUAUAGAACCCACUCCAAAACAAAAGGAUGAACUACCA
rnacentral:lncRNA from 1 species